ACAGUAAUUCCACCCUCCUCCUCAUGAUAGCCCUCCUUCUCUCCCCCAUGCUAACCUAUGCAUCUGCUGCUCGUCCAGAGCCUGUGAAAACCCAACACAUGGGUUCUUCAGAGAUGGUUGAUAAUGAAGAAACUAAUUGUGAAGGAGUGAAGGAGGAAGAGUGCUUGAUGAGGAGGACACUGGUUGCUCAUAUUGAUUAUAUAUAUACCCAGAAGCAGCACAAGCCCUGAAUGAAUCUCUCUCUCUUUGUUUGUCUCUUAAUUAGAAUCACUGGCUAGGAUUCUAAUAUUUGUGUUUAUAUAUCAGUUAGUAUAGCAUAAUAAUAAAGAAUAAAACAUGUUUCCUGUGUUUUCUUUGU